AUGGAAUGGUUCGGUUUCAUGCCAACAACACUGUUCGGUAAGAGAUGGAGGGGCACUGAUUUGUUGACGGAUGGCAUGGCCCAUUGGCAGUGUUCAGAUUACAAUCCUGCUUGGUGGGAUCCUGUGAAGUUGCAACUCUCGUCUGGAACCACCGAGAGCUGCCUGUCACAUGUCCCUUUGCUGCCUCUUGUGCUGAACUCGCUGGAGCCGGAGGAGGAGGUUAAAGGUUUGGGAGGUUCCGCUUCUGUCAUGCCGCCGCCUGCUGGAUUCGAGCUUCCGUCUCCCCAGGCCACCGGCAUGCCCGACGACGUGCUCCUCGCACUGCAGCCAUGCCAGCCAAGCGCGCAUGCCCGGUCUCGGAUGGCCCGUGCGCCCAAGCGUGCGACGAGGAGACCAGAGCACUGCCGGCCCUCCCGGUGCGAUGAAGGAGGCCCGCGUGGUGCUCCACCGGAGAAAUACCUUUUCCGAUGCGUGCGUGCACCACAUUAA
rnacentral:rRNA from 1 species